UUUCAGGUUUUGAGACUCAGACUGGCUUCUUUGCUUCUCAACUUGCAGAUGGCCUACUAUGAGACUUCACCUUGUGAUCGUGUUUCUGUAGAGGUGGAGUCCGGGAAUGACUUUAUUGUGUCUUCUCACUCUGGUCCUUCACAGACUGCAGUCAAGUGUCAGCUGGAGCUGCGGUCAUCUCAAGCCUCUACAGGAAGAAAGGCCAUCUUCAGGCUUGCUCAUGUGGUUGUUGGCAGGAUUCAGUUUUUCUCUGGUAGCUGGACUGAGGGAAUCAGUUCCUCAUGAGCUGUUGGCCAGACACCUAUCUUAGUACUUUGUCUCAUACACCUCUCCGUACAGCAUUUCACAGCAUGAUAACUUUCUUCAUCAAAGCAAGGAAAUGAGAGAGCAAGAAUGGGUUAGCAAGAUGGAAGCUAGAAUCUUUCUUGUAAGCUGAUGUUGGAUAUGACGUUCCAUCACUUUGGCUGUAUUCUAUCCAUUAGAAGCAAAUAAUUAAGUUCAGUUGACACUGAAAUGGAGGAGAUUACACAAGGGCAUGAAUACCAGGCAUAAGGCAUCAUUCGAAACUAUUUUAGAAGAGGCUACCACAAGCUGUAUACAAAAUAUACUAGUUGCUCAGAGAAGUCUUUAAAUCUAAUAAAUUUUAAAUCUAAGUGGGAGUAAAUAAUCUAACAGAUUUUAAUAAAGUUGGAGUAAGAACUGAAAAGAAGCAAGAGGUAUUUGAAUUGUGGGAUGGAGCUUGUAUAGUAGUUAUAUUAUAUUGUGUUACGCGUCUUUUGUAUGGAUGGGGAUAUUUAAAACAAGAGAAUAAAGACAUUUCUGGAAGCUGGAAGAAUAUAGGAAAGCAUGUUGAGUCAUGAAGCUAUGGAGACAAGUCAUGGAUAAAAUUGUAGACAAUAGAUCUUAAAUUUUGGAAAGGCUGAAAAUCCAUUUGAAUAAUUGAUGAGAAACAAUACUGUUCUCAAAGGAAAAGACCAAAAACAGUUUUUUUUUGGUUGGUUUUGUUUUGUUUUGUUUUUUACUUUUCUGAGACCCAAGUUAAAAAACAAACAAAAACCUUAAGGUUAAUUGGGGCUGAGAAAAAUUUUGAAGGGCAUUCUUCCUAGGAAAUUGGAAUUUUAUUCUACCAGAUAAUGAUCAGUCUCUGAAGAAACUUUAAAAAGGAGAAUAAUUGAGGGUAUUCACUAACAAUGAUUGCAGUGUCACUAACAGAUUAGGGGGAAAGAGGCAGAUUAUUAAGCUAUUGUAGUAAUCCAGGCAAUAAGAUACAGAUAUCUGAAUAGGGCAAUGAUGAUUGGGUAGGGAAAAAGACUUAUCUCUGGGACGUAUAAUCAAUUGAACUUGACUAAAUUAAAACUCAGAUGGUAUAGAAUGGAGGAUGAUUUUAUAUUUCUGGUUUUAGAAACUGGAUCAUAACAUUUUGAGAGAUAUGAUACUUUUUGGAUAAGAAAACAAAAAAAUCAUCAACAUAAGUGUGUGUAUAUUAACAAAUAUAUCAGUUUUCCUAGAAAUAAAAGAGCAG
rnacentral:lncRNA from 1 species